AUGGCAUUGGGCCAGGUCAGAAGUCAAAAUUGUAACUAUUACUUACACUACUCUCACAGUAGACCAGUGUCACCUCUUUCAGAGGAUGUUGAGUACUCCACAUUUUGCCUUGAGGAGCUAUUUGACGAAAACAGGUCAGACUCACCAGAUUCAAUUGUUUCAAAGAUUGAAUGCCCACCAACAACUGUAACCACAUCUCAACAACUGUCUGCCGGAAGACCUCUUACGUACGCUGAUGUUGUGCGGGGCUUUACACAUGAUAGGGAAACAGAGGAGUUGUUGACUUGUUCCCAAAAUGAAUUGACACCUGUUUGUCUUACGUCAGCAACUUUGGACACAGAGUGCGCUGACACCUCAGCAGACCAUUGGGUGACCGAUGUAAGGCCGCAUUCUCCUCAGUCGGUGGUGUCUGAAAGUGAACUCAGGCCCCUGUCUCCUGACUCACCUGUCCCUCAGUUCAGAUCUCCCCACAUUGGUCACCAUGCUGAUUCGUCAAGGCACAGGUCGUUUACGCCAGAAUCAACAAGUUCCGACUGGGAGGGCAUUGAAUUGUGCCUUGAUAGCCUUUUUGAGGAGACCAGGCCAGAAUCCCCACAGUCAGUUUUAUCAGACUUUGAACUCGAGAAGUUGUUUAGUAGCAGAGCAUUGUCACCAGACUCUGUGUCUUCAGAUUUGGACUUUACCCUCCUGCAGGACUGGUUGGCCGAUUUUAGAGCGUCGUCACCAGAAUCUGUGGUGUUCGGUGAGAAGGAAUCUUUGUCCCCUCAAAUGACAUUGGGCCAGGUCAGAAGUCAAAAUUGUAACUAUUACUUACACUACUCUCACAGUAGACCUGUGUCACCUCUUUCAGAGGAUGUUGAGUACUCCACAUUUUACCUUGAGGAGCUAUUUGACGAAAACAGGUCAGACUCACCAGAUUCACUCGUUUCAAAGUUUGAAUGCCCAACAACAACUGUAACCACAUCUCAACAACUGUCUGCCGGAAGACCUCUUACGUACGCUGAUGUUGUGCGGGGCUUUACACGUGAUAGGGAAACAGAGGAGUUGUUGACUUGUUCCCAAAAUGAAUUGACACCUGUUUGUCUUACGUCAGCAACUUUGGACACAGAGUGCGCUGACACCUCAGCAGACCAUUGGGUGACCGAUGUAAGGCCGCAUUCUCCUCAGUCGGUGGUGUCUGAAAGUGAACUCAGGCCCCUGUCUCCUGACUCACCUGUCCCUCAGUUCAGAUCUCCCCACAUUGGUCACCAUGCUGAUUCGUCAAGGCACAGGUCGUUUACGCCAGAAUCAACACGUUCCGACUGGGAGGGCAUUGAAUUGUGCCUUGAUAGCCUUUUUGAGGAGACCAGGCCAGAAUCCCCACAGUCAGUUUUAUUAGACUUUGAACUUGACAAGUUGUUUAGUAGCAGGCCAUUUUCACCAGACUCUGUGUCUUCAGAUUUGGACUUUACCCUCCUGCAGGACUGGUUGGCCGAUUUUAGAGCGUCGUCACCAGAAUCUGUGGUGUUCGGUGAGAAGGAAUCUUUGUCCCCUCAAAUGGCAUUGGGCCAGGUCAGAAGUCAAAAUUGUAACUAUUACUUACACUACUCUCACAGUAGACCAGUUUCACCUCUUUCAGAGGAUGUUGAGUACUCCACAUUUUACCUUGAGGAGCUAUUUGACGAAAACAGGUCAGACUCACCAGAUUCACUCGUUUCAAAGUUUGAAUGCCCAACAACAACUGUAACCACAUCUCAACAACUGUCUGCCGGAAGACCUCUUACGUACGCUGAUGUUGUGCGGGGCUUUACACGUGAUAGGGAAACAGAGGAGUUGUUGACUUGUUCCCAAAAUGAAUUGACACCUGUUUGUCUUACGUCAGCAACUUUGGACACAGAGUGCGCUGACACCUCAGCAGACCAUUGGGUGACCGAUGUAAGGCCGCAUUCUCCUCAGUCGGUGGUGUCUGAAAGUGAACUCAGGCCCCUGUCUCCUGACUCACCUGUCCCUCAGUUCAGAUCUCCCCACAUUGGUCACCAUGCUGAUUCGUCAAGGCACAGGUCGUUUACGCCAGAAUCAACACGUUCCGACUGGGAGGGCAUUGAAUUGUGCAUUGAUAGCCUUUUUGAGGAGACCAGGCCAGAAUCCCCACAGUCAGUUUUAUUAGACUUUGAACUCGAGAAGUUGUUUAGUAGCAGGCCAUUUUCACCAGACUCUGUGUCUUCAGAUUUGGACUUUACCCUCCUGCAGGACUGGUUGGCCGAUUUUAGAGCGUCGUCACCAGAAUCUGUGGUGUUCGGUGAGAAGGAAUCUUUGUCCCCUCAAAUGGCAUUGGGCCAGGUCAGAAGUCAAAAUUGUAACUAUUACUUACACUACUCUCACAGUAGACCAGUUUCACCUCUUUCAGAGGAUGUUGAGUACUCCACAUUUUACCUUGAGGAGCUAUUUGACGAAAACAGGUCAGACUCACCAGAUUCACUCGUUUCAAAGUUUGAAUGCCCAACAACAACUGUAACCACAUCUCAGCAACUGUCUGCCGGAAGACCUCUUACUUACGCUGAUGUUGUGCGGGGCUUUACACGUGAUAGGGAAACAGAGGAGUUGUUGACUUGUUCCCAAAAUGAAUUGACACCUGUUUGUCUUACAUCAGCAACUUUGGACACAGAGUGCGCUGACACCUCAGCAGACCAUUGGGUGACCGAUGUAAGGCCGCAUUCUCCUCAGUCGGUGGUGUCUGAAAGUGAACUCAGGCCCCUGUCUCCUGACUCACCUGUCCCUCAGUUCAGAUCUCCCCACAUUGGUCACCAUGCUGAUUCGUCAAGGCACAGGUCGUUUACGCCAGAAUCAACACGUUCCGACUGGGAGGGCAUUGAAUUGUGCAUUGAUAGCCUUUUUGAGGAGACCAGGCCAGAAUCCCCACAGUCAGUUUUAUCAGACUUUGAACUUGACAAGUUGUUUAGUAGCAGGGCAUUGUCACCAGACUCUGUGUCUUCAGAUUUGGACUUUACCCUCCUGCAGGACUGGUUGGCCGAUUUUAGAGCUUCGUCACCAGAAUCUGUGGUGUUCGGUGAGAAGGAAUCUUUGUCCCCUCAAAUGGCAUUGGGCCAGGUCAGAAGUCAAAAUUGUAACUAUUACUUACACUACUCUCACAGUAGACCUGUGUCACCUCUUUCAGAGGAUGUUGAGUACUCCACAUUUUGCCUCGAGGAGCUGUUUGAGGAAAACAGGUCAGACUCACCAGAUUCACUUGUUUCAAAGUUUGAAUGCCCAACAACAACUGUAACCACAUCUCAGCAACUGUCUGCCGGAAGACCUCUUACUUACGCUGAUGUUGUGCGGGGCUUUACACGUGAUAGGGAAACAGAGGAGUUGUUGACUUGUUCCCAAAAUGAAUUGACACCUGUUUGUCUUACGUCAGCAACUUUGGACACAGAGUGCGCUGACACCUCAGCAGACCAUUGGGUGACCGAUGUAAGGCCGCAUUCUCCUCAGUCGGUGGUGUCUGAAAGUGAACUCAGGCCCCUGUCUCCUGACUCACCUGUCCCUCAGUUCAGAUCUCCCCACAUUGGUCACCAUGCUGAUUCGUCAAGGCACAGGUCGUUUACGCCAGAAUCAACACGUUCCGACUGGGAGGGCAUUGAAUUGUGCCUUGAUAGCCUUUUUGAGGAGACCAGGCCAGAAUCCCCACAGUCAGUUUCAUCAGACUUUGAACUUGACAAGUUGUUUAGUAGCAGAGCAUUGUCACCAGACUCUGUGUCUUCAGAUUUGGACUUUACCCUCCUGCAGGACUGGUUGGCCGAUUUUAGAGCGUCGUCACCAGAAUCUGUGGUGUCCAGUGAGAAGGAAUCUUUGUCCCCUCAAAUGGCAUUGGGCCAGGUCAGAUGUCAAAAUUGUAGCUAUUACUUACACUACUCUCACAGUAGCCCAUUGUUUCCUCAACAAUUGCCUUCAAAAAAGUCAGAUGUUGUGUAUUUAACAUCUGACUUUGUGGAACCCUCUGAGAUAUGUAUACCCGAAUUGUCAGAAGUAUUUGCUACAUGUUUGUUCUUGAAUAAAACAAAUAUAACUUUCAAUGUAUCUCCUCAGAUUAUCGCUGCAAUUCCGCUGAUAUAUGAGGAGUCACAGAAAAGCUUCAUUUCUAAAUCAGUGUCUGAGAAAUACUAUUUGAAACUCUUUCCCAUUUUCAACAACUUUGUGUCACAUGUAUACGAUACAUUUUAUAACGGACGCCAUUUUUGUUGUCACUUAAAAUCUUUUCAUAAGAAUUUGGAAAAACAGUCGUCCAUUUGUGACGUUACAAGUCAAGAACAUUGUCAUGCAAUCAGCCAUACUUGUGUAGAUAAUUUUUCAUGUUUUUCUCAUUGCAUAUCGCAAGAUGACAUAUCAGAUACAUGUCUCUCUGCAAAUUCUUUGAAUCCAGCUCCUGUUUUGUCGCCUGACACAGGUUCCUCAAGUUCCUAUAAACAUCCAAGGGAUAGACAGUUUAAAGAGACUCCUUCUUUUUCGAAUUAUACGCUUUCGUCACCUGAAAUAUCGCAUUCAGACUUUGGAAGUCCUUCCUCUUCAACUCGUUUAUUUAAUAACCUAAGGCCGCCUUCUCCAAUGUCAUUUGCCACAGUCGAUGAGUUCACUGCCCUUUCUCCUGACUCACAAAUUGGUCAGUUUUACAGUGAACCUUGUAAUGACAUGUGUUUGUCUAAACAUAGAUCAACUUCACCAGACUCCAUUAUGUUGAACAGAGAUACCUCUGAUUCUUGUCAUGAUACUUUGUUUGAUGCGAUGAGACCAGCUUCGGCUCAAUCCUUUGGAUUUUAUACAGAAUAUCAGGAGACCGUCAACAUUUUGUCAUCAGAUAAGGAGUACUCAGAAUCAUUCCUUAACUAUUGGCUCGCAUCAUUGAGACCAUCUUCACCACCAGUCCAUGAAUCAAAAGGAGAUUUAGAUGACGGUUCGCACCUGCCAUGUGAGGGCCCCAUUACCAAAGGCAUUGGACUUGCAUGCAAGCCAGUACAACAGCAACAAGAGCAUUGCUGCAAAAAGAUUAAAUGCUCUGAGAAGGUUUGUGAUCAAAACAAAUUAGAAAAUUUAGCAGUGAGCUUAAAAGAGUCACAAAGCCUGGCCAGGUCAUGUCAUUUUGAAGGCAUCAAAGCAGACUCCAAAUCAUCAUCUGAUGCUCCUCUAUCCCACUGUACAGUGUUUACACUUACUGGAAGAGAUUCAUAUCCUGCAACGCUGAUACCCCCGUCAAGUGCAGGUGAGACAGGAUCCAUAGCACCGAUAUCAAAAGCAAAUGACCAGCCUUCUUUUGUCAGACCCCCUCCAUAG
rnacentral:lncRNA from 1 species